CGAUGGUUGUCGUCAGCUCGUGUCGUGAGAUGUUGGUUAAGUCCCGCAACGAGCGCAACCCUUGUCUUUAGUUGCCAUCAUUCAGUUUGGGCGACUCUAGAGAGACUGCCGAGGGAUAAACUCGGAGGAAGGUGGGGAUGACGUCAAAUCAUCAUGCCCCUUAUGUCCUGGGCUACACACGUGCUACAAUGGCUGGUACAAAGAGACGCAAGACCGCGAGGUGGAGCAAAUCUCAAAAACCAGUCCCAGUUCGGAUUGCAGGCUGCAACUCGCCUGCAUGAAGUUGGAGUUGCUAGUAAUCGCAGAUCAGAAUGCUGCGGUGAAUGCGUUCCCGGGUCUU
rnacentral:rRNA from 2 species